UACGUAGGUGGCAAGCGUUGUCCGGAAUUAUUGGGCGUAAAGCGCGCGCAGGUGGUUCCUUAAGUCUGAUGUGAAAGCCCACGGCUCAACCGUGGAGGGUCAUUGGAAACUGGGGAACUUGAGUGCAGGAGAGAAGAGUGGAAUUCCACGUGUAGCGGUGAAAUGCGUAGAGAUGUGGAGGAACACCAGUGGCGAAGGCGGACUCUUUGGUCUGUAACUGACGCUGAGGCGCGAAAGCGUGGGGAGCAAACAG
rnacentral:rRNA from 1 species